UCGAGCGGACAGAAGGGAGCUUGCUCCCGGAUGUUAGCGGCGGACGGGUGAGUAACACGUGGGUAACCUGCCUGUAAGACUGGGAUAACUCCGGGAAACCGGAGCUAAUACCGGAUAGUUCCUUGAACCGCAUGGUUCAAGGAUGAAAGACGGUUUCGGCUGUCACUUACAGAUGGACCCGCGGCGCAUUAGCUAGUUGGUGGGGUAAUGGCUCACCAAGGCGACGAUGCGUAGCCGACCUGAGAGGGUGAUCGGCCACACUGGGACUGAGACACGGCCCAGACUCCUACGGGAGGCAGCAGUAGGGAAUCUUCCGCAAUGGACGAAAGUCUGACGGAGCAACGCCGCGUGAGUGAUGAAGGUUUUCGGAUCGUAAAGCUCUGUUGUUAGGGAAGAACAAGUGCGAGAGUAACUGCUCGCACCUUGACGGUACCUAACCAGAAAGCCACGGCUAACUACGUGCCAGCAGCCGCGGUAAUACGUAGGUGGCAAGCGUUGUCCGGAAUUAUUGGGCGUAAAGGGCUCGCAGGCGGUUUCUUAAGUCUGAUGUGAAAGCCCCCGGCUCAACCGGGGAGGGUCAUUGGAAACUGGGAAACUUGAGUGCAGAAGAGGAGAGUGGAAUUCCACGUGUAGCGGUGAAAUGCGUAGAGAUGUGGAGGAACACCAGUGGCGAAGGCGACUCUCUGGUCUGUAACUGACGCUGAGGAGCGAAAGCGUGGGGAGCGAACAGGAUUAGAUACCCUGGUAGUCCACGCCGUAAACGAUGAGUGCUAAGUGUUA
rnacentral:rRNA from 1 species